GCCGUCUUAGCUCAGUUGGUAGAGCGCCGCCAUGGUAAGGCUGAGGUCUCGGGUUCGAUCCCCGAAGACGGCUCGA
rnacentral:tRNA from 4 species